AUUGAACGCUGGCGGCAGGCUUAACACAUGCAAGUCGAACGCAUCCUUCGGGGUGAGUGGCAGACGGGUGAGUAACGCGUGGGAACGUGCCCUUCAGUUCGGGAUAACACAGGGAAACUUGGGCUAAUACCGGAUACGUGCGAGAGCAGAAAGAUUUAUCGCUGAAGGAUCGGCCCGCGUCGGAUUAGCUAGUUGGUGGGGUAAUGGCCCACCAAGGCGACGAUCAGUAGCUGGUCUGAGAGGAUGAUCAGCCACAGGGGGACUGAGACGCGGCCCAAACUCCUCCGGGAGGCAGCAGGGGUGAAUAGUGGACAAGGGGCGCAAGCUUGUUCCAGCCAUGCCGCGUGAGUGAGGAAGGCCUUAGGGGGGUAAAGCUCGUGCGGCCGGGACGAGAAGGACGGUACCGGAAGAAGAAGCCCCGGCGAACUUCGUGCCAGCCGCCGCCGUAA
rnacentral:rRNA from 1 species